rnacentral:rRNA from 1 species
AGCGCAUACGGUGGAUGCCUUGGCAGUCAGAGGCGAUGAAAGACGUGGUAGCCUGCGAUAAGCUUUGGGGAGUCGGCAAACAGACUGUGAUCCAGAGAUCUCUGAAUGGGGGAACCCACUCAGCAUAAGCUGAGUAUCUUGUACUGAAUACAUAGGUGCAAGAGGCGAACCAGGGGAACUGAAACAUCUAAGUACCCUGAGGAAAAGAAAUCAACCGAGAUUCCCUUAGUAGUGGCGAGCGAACGGGGACCAGCCCUUAAGUUGAUUUGAGAUUAGUGGAACGCUCUGGAAAGUGCGGCCAUAGUGGGUGAUAGCCCCGUACACGAAAAUCUCUUGUCAAUGAAAUCGAGUAGGACGGAGCACGAGAAACUUUGUCUGAACAUGGGGGGACCAUCCUCCAAGGCUAAAUACUACUGACUGACCGAUAGUGAACCAGUACCGUGAGGGAAAGGCGAAAAGAACCCCGGAGAGGGGAGUGAAAUAGAACCUGAAACCGUAUGCGUACAAGCAGUGGGAGCCUACUUGUUAGGUGACUGCGUACCUUUUGUAUAAUGGGUCAGCGACUUAUAUUCAGUGGCGAGCUUAACCGAAUAGGGGAGGCGUAGCGAAAGCGAGUCUUAAUAGGGCGUUUAGUCGCUGGGUAUAGACCCGAAACCGGGCGAUCUAUCCAUGGGCAGGUUGAAGGUUAGGUAACACUGACUGGAGGACCGAACCGACUACCGUUGAAAAGUUAGCGGAUGACCUGUGGAUCGGAGUGAAAGGCUAAUCAAGCUCGGAGAUAGCUGGUUCUCCUCGAAAGCUAUUUAGGUAGCGCCUCAUGUAUCACUGUAGGGGGUAGAGCACUGUUUCGGCUAGGGGGUCAUCCCGACUUACCAAACCGAUGCAAACUCCGAAUACCUACAAGUGCCGAGCAUGGGAGACACACGGCGGGUGCUAACGUCCGUCGUGAAAAGGGAAACAACCCAGACCGUCAGCUAAGGUCCCAAAGUCAUGGUUAAGUGGGAAACGAUGUGGGAAGGCUUAGACAGCUAGGAGGUUGGCUUAGAAGCAGCCAUCCUUUAAAGAAAGCGUAAUAGCUCACUAGUCGAGUCGGCCUGCGCGGAAGAUGUAACGGGGCUCAAACCAUGCACCGAAGCUACGGGUAUCACCUUUGGUGAUGCGGUAGAGGAGCGUUCUGUAAGCCUGUGAAGGUGAGUUGAGAAGCUUGCUGGAGGUAUCAGAAGUGCGAAUGCUGACAUGAGUAACGACAAUGCGAGUGAAAAACUCGCACGCCGAAAGACCAAGGUUUCCUGCGCAACGUUAAUCGACGCAGGGUUAGUCGGUCCCUAAGGCGAGGCUGAAAAGCGUAGUCGAUGGAAAACAGGUUAAUAUUCCUGUACUUCCAGUUAUUGCGAUGGAGGGACGGAGAAGGCUAGGCCAGCUUGGCGUUGGUUGUCCAAGUUUAAGGUGGUAGGCUGAAAUCUUAGGCAAAUCCGGGAUUUCAAGGCCGAGAGCUGAUGACGAGUUGCCAUUAGGCGACGAAGUGGUUGAUGCCAUGCUUCCAAGAAAAGCUCCUAAGCUUCAGAUAACUGGGAACCGUACCCCAAACCGACACAGGUGGUUAGGUAGAGAAUACCAAGGCGCUUGAGAGAACUCGGGUGAAGGAACUAGGCAAAAUGGCACCGUAACUUCGGGAGAAGGUGCGCCGGCGAGGGUGAAGGACUUGCUCCGUAAGCCCAUGCCGGUCGAAGAUACCAGGCCGCUGCGACUGUUUAUUAAAAACACAGCACUCUGCAAACACGAAAGUGGACGUAUAGGGUGUGACGCCUGCCCGGUGCCGGAAGGUUAAUUGAUGGGGUUAGCGCAAGCGAAGCUCUUGAUCGAAGCCCCGGUAAACGGCGGCCGUAACUAUAACGGUCCUAAGGUAGCGAAAUUCCUUGUCGGGUAAGUUCCGACCUGCACGAAUGGCGUAACGAUGGCGGCGCUGUCUCCACCCGAGACUCAGUGAAAUUGAAAUCGCUGUGAAGAUGCAGUGUAUCCGCGGCUAGACGGAAAGACCCCGUGAACCUUUACUAUAGCUUUGCACUGGACUUUGAAUUUGCUUGUGUAGGAUAGGUGGGAGGCUUUGAAGUGGGGACGCCAGUUCUCAUGGAGCCAUCCUUGAAAUACCACCCUGGCAACUUUGAGGUUCUAACUCAGGUCCGUUAUCCGGAUCGAGGACAGUGUAUGGUGGGUAGUUUGACUGGGGCGGUCUCCUCCCAAAGAGUAACGGAGGAGUACGAAGGUGCGCUCAGACCGGUCGGAAAUCGGUCGUAGAGUAUAAAGGCAAAAGCGCGCUUGACUGCGAGACAAACACGUCGAGCAGGUACGAAAGUAGGUCUUAGUGAUCCGGUGGUUCUGUAUGGAAGGGCCAUCGCUCAACGGAUAAAAGGUACUCCGGGGAUAACAGGCUGAUACCGCCCAAGAGUUCAUAUCGACGGCGGUGUUUGGCACCUCGAUGUCGGCUCAUCACAUCCUGGGGCUGAAGCCGGUCCCAAGGGUAUGGCUGUUCGCCAUUUAAAGUGGUACGCGAGCUGGGUUUAGAACGUCGUGAGACAGUUCGGUCCCUAUCUGCCGUGGACGUUUGAGAUUUGAGAGGGGCUGCUCCUAGUACGAGAGGACCGGAGUGGACGAACCUCUGGUGUUCCGGUUGUCACGCCAGUGGCAUUGCCGGGUAGCUAUGUUCGGAAGAGAUAACCGCUGAAAGCAUCUAAGCGGGAAACUUGCCUCAAGAUGAGAUCUCACUGGAACCUUGA